rnacentral:rRNA from 1 species
GGCUCGAGGACGAACGGCUGGCGGCGUGCCUAACACAUGCAAGUCGAGCGGGGUCCAUCCGGUAGCAAUACCGGGGAAGACCUAGCGGCGAACGGGUGAGUAACACGUGAGAAACCUGCCCCGAAGUCUGGGAUAACCCGAGGAAACUCGAGCUAAUACCGGAUGUCUUCUUCUGAUCGCAUGGUCGGAUGAAGAAAGAUUUAUCGCUUCGGGAGGGUCUCGCGGCCUAUCAGCUAGUUGCGGGGUAACGGCCCACCAAGGCGUCGACGGGUAGCUGGUCUGAGAGGACGAUCAGCCACACUGGGACUGAGACACGGCCCAGACUCCUACGGGAGGCAGCAGUGGGGAAUAUUGCGCAAUGGGCGAAAGCCUGACGCAGCAACGCCGCGUGCGGGAUGAAGGCCCUCGGGUUGUAAACCGCUUUCAGUGGGGACGAAUUCAGACGGUACCCACAGAAGAAGCCCCGGCCAACUACGUG